ACUCAGGAGCUUUGAGGAAUGAUUGUGGUGGAUUAUCUGACGCCUGAUGGAUGAUGGGGACGAGGACGCCAGGAGAUGGUCCCACAGAAGAGUACCCAGAGGCGCAGCUGCGGUUCCUGCAUUGUAGCAUCACGGCGGAGUAGGCUCAUAAAGACGAUCUUGAUGAGGUUGGUCCAUCCGAUCGUAGGAGGCGAUUGUACCUCGCUCUGACAAACCCCGAUGAACUCGCUGCUGCGAUGGGAUUCGCGGGUUUGUCGUGCUUACUUGCUCACCUGCUGCUCCUCGGAGUUCACUAGAUCCUUGCUACUGGUAGAAAACCAUGUGUAGCACUAGGACCAUUGCUAAUUUCAGCGCACCGUGGAGAUGCUCUCCAUCAUCCGUUCCGUAAGUCUCCUCGUCGUUCGAAGAUGACAUUCACGGUUAAGGUAUGAAUCCAACGCUCAUCCAGCAGAAGUUUCUUUUUCAGUUUGUUGGAAGAAAAAGAAUAACCUCUGCAACCAACUUUGAAUCAUAUGAAAUACAACAGAUGUUCUUUUCUUUACUUUUCUUUCUGUUAUAAUUUUAUUCCAUUUCGGUGCGUGUUUCAACUUCUCAUUGGAUUAGUGAUCCCAUAACCAACCCUCUCUAGACGUAAAGUUGCUAUAGCUACUCCAGGCCUUGUUCAACACAACUGGCGGUAGCGGGUCCUCAAAAGCAGAAAAACUUCACAAGAUUCCAUUCGAAUUUCUUUUUCUUCAUCUCCUUCCCACUGGAUUGCUGGGAGCUGCAGUAGGAGAGCGCUGGUGAAAGGUUUCGCAAGCCCUGGCUUCCUUUUUCUUCCUGGGCGAGCGAUGGUCGCAUUGAAUCUAACUCUACAAUCGGAUCUGGAGCAGCUUCGGCAAAUGAGAUGAGAUGGGGAAUCUACAGAGCACCGGACAAGUACAGCAAAUGUGGGGAUGCAUGCCAGUGAGGACUUGACAAACUAUUCACGGGGCGCAAAGCGAGUCCUUGAGAAGCAGGAAUUGCCGCGGCGAAGAGUCUAGUCAGCAGGCGAUGCGAGUCAUGUGAGAAGUAAGGAAGCGUCAUCAUGAUGGGCGCAAGCUGGAUUCGGGGCCUGCAUUGCUGCGCUCAUUGGACGAAGUUGCUUGCCGUGGGCAUGGUCCCAAUCCGCCUCGGCGCUGUCGACCCAGGCCUCACCCAGUUCCCAAAAGCUUUGAUUUGGUGGAGUAAGUAGCCUUUGGUAGCGGAAAUCCGAAAGUCGAAAUCGAGGCAUAGGGACGACGAGUUGCAGCGAAACUCGCAAGCGGAGGCGCUGCAGAUACCACAUCGGAAGCCUCGAAGCUGCUUGUCGCGGAGAGAAGGAAAAAAGUAAAAGAAAAGAAAUGAGGGGAAAGAAAGAAAAGGAGACAAUGCAAGUCAAUGGAUGACCUUUUACUGAUAAAUGAAUUAGUUCACAGGACUUCCAUCGGGGGUCGAAGUCUCUCAAUUGUGCCGUAAAAAAAAAGGGUUAACUUGGCCCUAAAGGCUUUGAAAUUUGUAUGAUUGUUUUGGUUUAGUUUAAUAAUAAGUUGUGGAGAACAUAUUUAAUUUUUAUAAUAAAAACUGAUUGUCUUUUUAAUAUUCUCAA